ACUCCUGCGGGAGGCAGCAGUGGGGAAUUUUGGACAAUGGGCGAAAGCCUGAUCCAGCAAUGCCGCGUGUGUGAAGAAGGCCUUCGGGUUGUAAAGCACUUUUGUCCGGAAAGAAAUCCUUGGCUCUAAUACAGUCGAGGGAUGACGGUACCGGAAGAAUAAGCACCGGCUAACUACGUGCCAGCAGCCGCGGUAAUACGUAGGGUGCGAGCGUUAAUCGGAAUUACUGGGCGUAAAGCGUGCGCAGGCGGUUUGCUAAGACCGAUGUGAAAUCCCCGGGCUCAACCUGGGAACUGCAUUGGUGACUGGCAGGCUAGAGUAUGGCAGAGGGGGGUAGAAUUCCACGUGUAGCAGUGAAAUGCGUAGAGAUGUGGAGGAAUACCGAUGGCGAAGGCAGCCCCCUGGGCCAAUACUGACGCUCAUGCACGAAAGCGUGGGGAGCAAACAGGAUUAGAUACCCCAGUAGUCCCA
rnacentral:rRNA from 1 species